AUGGUAGUGUCAUCCCCAACUGUUUCUCCUUGCUUGCUUCCCAUCCUUACCUGCGUAUUGAUUUGUCUCAGUAAACAGUUUGUGUGGCUGCAGAGUGAAUUAGGUUGGGGAACUAAUCCAACUCUCUUUCUCCUCUCUUUUCUAGGGGGGGUUAUUUUCCUCAAUACACUUCAGCCUGUGCCCAUACCAGCAGUUUUCCUGGCACAAAUAAGGCUGUGGUGUGAGGAAUAGGUGUAGAAAGAGAGAAACUCUGGAGAAACCAAGUACCAACUUCAGUCAACAUCACUUCACCCCCCAACAGAGCCUUAAUCUGAAGGACUUUCCAUCUCCAGAGUACAGCAAUUAGGUAAGAUUUAAUGAUUUUUAUGAGCCCAGAAAGAUGACAAGGUGUCAUUGUGUAAAGGAAAAAUCUGCAUUCAGGCUGGAGUUGUGCAAUUACGCUGUUAACUCUUGGGGGGGGGGGGGAGGAAAUCAUUAAGGAAGGAGCCACUGCUGACUAGUGAUUACAGCUCAGAGUAAUCCAGGUUUGCUUGUUCAACCACGAGCACUCAUUGCCCAGUGGCCAUCAGGACAGAUCACUGCUUUAUUACCAAGUUUUUAUCUGACAAGACCAAGUCAUUGCUACAGUGUUCUUCCAGCAUCUAACAGACUGGUUCUUAAAAUGGACGCUAUUUUUUUGGUCUGCCGUCUGACUGUUGGUAAUGUGGCUUUUUUCUAAGACCAGGCAAAAAGCUUGGGAUUUGCCUUUACACACUUCAAAGCAAUGCUUUGCACACUCUUCUGUGCCUGUGCCCUGCACUACAUUGCCAUUUGCCUGGGUAGCUCACUUUGGAUUUAACACGGCUUUCUGAUGUGCCAGUUUUUGAGACACUAAAGCAUUGCUUAAACAUGUGCAUUGUCUACCACCACACCAGGCCCUGGUGUUAGCUAACAAUGUUAGUUCAAUUAAACAUCCCUCCCCAGUCUGGUCAAGGCAUGAGACCUGCUGACAACUGAUCUGCUGCUGUUAACAGUGCUUGAAAUGACACUGUGCAUCUCAGGUCAGUGCCAUGGACCUGCGUAACUCAGCUGUGAGUAAUGCUCACCAACAGCUGAUAAUUGAUCACUUACAAGCAUGUGACAUGUUAAUGAAGCCAAUAGUCCUCACUUACAUUGUUAGCGGAGAGAAUAUAAUCAUAGAACCAUUCAGGUUGGAAAAGACCUCUAAGAUCAUCUAGUCCAACCCUUUACC
rnacentral:lncRNA from 1 species